rnacentral:lncRNA from 1 species
CAGAAAGCUACAAAAUGACAAAUAAUAUGUUCAUGCACGUCCUAAGUCUCAUGUCACUUUUGUUUUGCUCCCAUGCAACUCUGUCAGCACUGGUGUGAAGCGGUACGGCUUCAGAUGUACUCUCCCCAGAUGUAGGAGAAAGUGACCAGUUGCAGCAGUCACAUACGUCUUCAGCUGGAAUCACAAACUGGUUUCUCUGAAUUAUGUGAGGCAGCUCCUGGCUGUUAGAGUGCACUGCAGAGGUACAGGAACUGGGUGGAUGUGACAUUACUGCUAGAAUCAAGCUGCUUCACAGAUAGCCAUGAGAUGGGUGAUCUUACAUGAUUUCUCCCACUCAACUCAGUUACAAGCAGUUAGCCUCCCUCUGCUGCCAGCUGAGUCUU